rnacentral:rRNA from 1 species
CCUACGGGUGGCAGCAGUGAGGAAUCUUGGUCAAUGGCCGAGAGGCUGAACCAGCCAAGUCGCGUGAGGGAAGAAUGUCCUAUGGAUUGUCAACCUCUUUUAUAUGGGAAUAAAACGUUCCACGUGUGGGAUUUUGUAUGUACCAUAUGAAUAAGGAUCCGCUAACUCCGUGCCCGCAGACGCGGUAAUACGGAGGAUCCGAGCGUUAUCCGGGUUUAUUGGGUUUAAAGGGAGCGUAGGUGGAUUGUUAAGUUAGUUGUUAAAGUUUGCGGCUCAACCGUAAAAUUGCAGUUGAAACUGGCAGUCUUGAGUGCAGUAGAGGUGGGCGGAAUUCGUGGUGUAGCGGUGAAAUGCUUAGAUAUCACGAAGAACUCCGAUUGCGAAGGCAGUUCACUGGACUGCAACUGACACUGAGGCUCGAAAGUGUGGGUAUCAAACAGGAUUAGAUACCCUAGUAGUC